UACGUAGGGAGCGAGCGUUGUCCGGAUUCAUUGGGCGUAAAGAGCUCGUAGGCGGCUUGGUAAGUCGGAUGUGAAACCUCCAGGCUCAACCUGGAGACGCCAUCCGAUACUGCCAUGGCUAGAGUCCGGUAGGGGCCCACGGAAUUCCUGGUGUAGCGGUGAAAUGCGCAGAUAUCAGGAGGAACACCGAUGGCGAAGGCAGUGGGCUGGGCCGGCACUGACGCUGAGGAGCGAAAGCGUGGGGAGCGAACAGG
rnacentral:rRNA from 1 species